rnacentral:misc_RNA from 1 species
UAUUUUGAAUUAUUUUAUUCAUAAUAUUUUUCAGACAAAGAGUUAAAGAAUAAGUUGAUGUUUGGUCGCUCUCAAAAAAGAGAACGACUGACAUUGCACACAAGGUGGAUAUGGAUUUAAAAAGUGCCAUAAAACACUUAUUAUGAAUGAUCCUUCCGCAGGUUCACCUACGGAAA